UGGGGAAUCUUGCGCAAUGGGCGAAAGCCUGACGCAGCAACGCCGCGUGCGGGAUGAAGGCCCUCGGGUCGUAAACCGCUUUCAGCAGGGAUGAAAAUGACAGUACCUGCAGAAGAAGCCCCGGCUAAAUACGUGCCAGCAGCCGCGGUAAUACGUAUGGGGCAAGCGUUAUCCGGAUUUAUUGGGCGUAAAGCGCGCGUAGGCGGCUUGUUAAGUCAGGUGUGAAAUCCGGGGGCUCAACCCGCGGCUUGCACCUGAAACUGGCAG
rnacentral:rRNA from 1 species